GCCCUGUUGGCACAAUGGUACUGCGCUAGCUUGGAAAGCUAGGCCCUUCGGGGCUCCCAGGUUCGAUUCCUGGACAGGGCG
rnacentral:tRNA from 1 species